CCAGCCGCCGCGGUAAUACGGAGGAUGCAAGCGUUAUCCGGAAUGAUUGGGCGUAAAGCGUCCGCAGGUGGUUUAUCAAGUUUGCGGUUAAAGGUUCUGGCUCAACCAGAGACGGGCCGUGAAAACUGAUAGACUAGAGUAUGGUAGGGGCAGAGGGAAUACCCAGUGUAGCGGUGAAAUGCGUAGAGAUUGGGAAGAACACCGGUGGCGAAAGCGCUCUGCUAGGCCAAAACUGACACUGAGGGACGAAAGCUAGGGGAGCGAAUGGGAUUAGAUACCCCAGUAGUCCUAGCCGUAAACGAUGAAUACUAGGUGUAGCUUGUAUCGACCCAAGCUGUGCCGUAGCUAACGCGUUAAGUAUCCCGCCUGGGGAGUACGCGCGCAAGCGUGAAACUCAAAGGAAUUGACGGGGGCCCGCACAAGCGGUGGAGUAUGUGGUUUAAUUCGAUGCAACGCGAAGAACCUUACCAGGACUUGACAUGUCGCGAAUCUUACUGAAAGGUAAGAGUGCCUUAGGGAGCGCGAACACAGGUGGUGCAUAGCUGUCGUCAGCUCGUGUCGUGAGAUGUUGGGUUAAGUCCCGCAACGAGCGCAACCCUCGUUUUUAGUUGCCAUCAUUAAGUUGGGCACUCUAGAGAGACUGCCGGUGACAAACCGGAGGAAGGUGGGGAUGACGUCAAGUCAGCAUGCCCCUUACGUUCUGGGCUACACACGUACUACAAUGCUACGGACAAAGGGUAGCAAGACAGCGAUGUCAAGCCAAUCCCAUAAACCGUGGCUCAGUUCAGAUUGCAGGCUGCAACUCGCCUGCAUGAAGGCGGAAUCGCUAGUAAUCGCAGGUCAGCACUACUGCGGUGAAUACGUUCCCGGGCCUUGUACACACCGCCCGUCACACCAUGGAAGCUGGCUUAGCCCGAAGUCGUUACCCUAACCGUAAGGAGGGGGAUGCCGAAGGCAGGGCUGGUGACUGGGGUGAAGUCGUAACAAGGUAACCAA
rnacentral:rRNA from 1 species